UUUUCCUCGCCUUAGGAAAAUUAGAACUGCAUUAUGCUCUGUGCAACCAUGUUGUUCAGUAAAUGUGUGUUUGCAUCUUCCGUUGACUAUGCCUAGCUAAGCAAGUAGAGUAUUUCUAGCUAGCACAAGCUACAGGAUGCAAGGGCUAGGAGAUUUGCUUGGUUCAUCUUCAUCUAGCUUUCUACUAGUACUAGCUAGCCAUGAAAUAUGAGCAAACAGUGGUUAUCAUCACAGUAGCACCUGCGGAUCACUUUUCUCGUUCUUGCUGGUUUUUUUAGUCCAUUGAAGCUAGUUUGAUUGGCAAAGCUGGUUUUAAAUUGUUUUAACCAACCAAACACCUAUUUCUUUCUUAAGCAAGGUUAUAACCAUUCUUGCUUGCUUGGAAUCCAAAUGCGCCCUAACUGACCUGACCGGAAGCGCCACUAUGCCCAUCAUUCCGAUAGGUUACUUUCCUGCUUGAUGCAGUGAUAUGUCACGAUAUCAGUUUCCAGUAUCCAGUAUCCUUACUAGGAAUGGCUAGCAAUAGUGCCAGGGGUAACCUUUAUGUUAAUCGUUUCUUGAGUAGACUGCCAUUAUUCUAGUAGUAGGAAUCCAACACUCCAUUUUCGAUUGAUAUUGCCACAGACUGCAACACAUUGUUCUGUUAGAACUUCCCCGUGGUGAUUCUUUCAUUUUUUUUAUUUGCAUUUAAAUCCUGCAACCUGGAGCUGUUUGUGAAUAUGCAAUUUGGAGAUGCUCUUGUCAAGGUACAAGAUGAAAUGCUGAUGCAAAACUCUUUACCAUCAUGAUCUAUUUGCAGUUAGAUAUCACAGAUUUAGUGUCUGAUGGUUUUGAUUGAUCAUGUUUAAGUUGUUCAGGUUGACUGGCACUUGGAAGUACUAUAUUAAAUUUUUAUGCUGAACUCUUCAUUUGGAAUAUCACGAUUUCAUAGGACAUUUGUCAUCUGCCCUUGAUCCUUUAAUCAUAUUAUUAAUAUUUCUUUUAUUCUCACGCUGUAGCUUUAUUUCUAUGUUGGUUUACCCACCUAUCAUAAUCCAUGUAAAUUAACCGUCUUCCUGGAUUUGUUGGGUCGAUGCACUGUUGAUAUUUUUUUUGGGAGGCCUAUAUUGCUAUAUCCUUGUAUUUUUCUUUUUGUCCAGUUGUUUCAUCUGCAUCUUUGCUGUAUCGAUGUUUCAUCAACAUAUGCUAUUUACUUUUUGCAAGGUCUCUCCUAACUGUAGCCUAUUUUAGUUUAGGCAUAUGAUUUUUUUUAUGCUUCUGCCAUUCUUCAAUUCCGAUGUCCGUGACUCUGUGCUAAUGGAUGAACCGAGCCUGUUUCUGUUCUUGGUAUUAUCUUUUGAGCUUCAACUCCAAAAAAUUGCCCGGGUGCAUAAGGGCUCUUAGGCCACUUUUGGCAUUGUGGUAGAUUACAAUAAUCUUGUUUGCCUAACCAGCCUUUCCCUAUCUUAAUGUUUGGUAACCAGCUCUUUCUUGCUUUCAUGGAGUAUUUAUCCACAUCACUUCGCUAUGAAACAAGUUCAGUGUAGCACAAUUAGGCAACUGUAAGCUGAGCCUUAUUGUCCUAUGCCAAUUUAUCCACGAUCAUCUUGAGCUUAUUCAAUAACAUCACUUAUUUCACUUGUUAUCUUCUGAGUCUACUAACUAGUGAGCUUAUAACGUAAGUGCAAGGCAGGGCAGAAGGGAUUGAAUAUGAACCGUUCAUUUCUAGGAACCCUAAAUGAUAAGUCUUAUUUUGGAGAUUAUUCUGUAAAAACUCCUAGCUUGUUUUUAUAAUGCUUGUGGUUUUGUGAGUUAAGCAUUGAGAGUGUUGCUCAUAUCGUACAUUGUUACUGUUGGUUUCAGUUGCCAACUUGCCUUGGCUCAUGAGUUAUUGUUGAACCUUUCAAUAUUGUUCUCUGAUUUUGCUGUUAGAUUUUUAGGCUUCUUCAUGUACUUGGUACACUAACUUUGUACGUUGAACACUGUAUCAUGUGACCUGUGACGCUGUGAUGAUACCUUUGUAAAACAAUUCCCAACUGUUGGGACUGAUUGGCAUAUAGCGAAUGCUGCAAUUGUUCCCAUUCAAUGCCUGAGUCAUGACCACUUCUAAAUUGUGCAGUUUAUUUCCCUGUCUUAGCUUGCUAACCGCAUCUAAAUUCUCUACUUGAGCAAUCUUUUCACUUUUGCUUUGUUUUCAGCUGUCUAAUAUAAUAUAUUUCUUCAUCUGUUUUGUGAUUUGCCUGUAUAAUCAUGUUAACACUUCUGUGCGCUAAAUCUAUGUGCUUAGUUGGUAAUUGUAGUUCACAUUGUUGGUCUUUCCUCUUUUCUCCUUUUCUCCCUAAGGCACUCUGGUUCAGAGCUACACGCUAUUUAUUUCUGCAAGGUCACUUGUAAAUCCUAACUGUAGGCUAUUUUAAUUUAGGUAUAUGAAAACUUGAAUGCUGCUGCCAUUCUUCAAUUCUGAUGUCCAUGACUCUAUGCUAAUGGAUGAACUGAACCUGUUUCAUUCUUGGUAUUAUCUUUUAAGCUUCAAGACCAAAUAGUAGGCGGGAGCUAUUCCAGGGGAUGCGUAGUGGCUCUUAGGGAAGGCGAUGAGUAUCGAAUACAGCUCUGCCCAACAUCAAGUGACAUAGUAGAUGAGAAGAUUUAAUUAUAUCUGAUCUUCUUGUUUGUUCGGCCUGUUUGUGGUGUCUGUUUGUUCACUUCAUUCUAUUGUGUAGCUUUCUGGUGUGAACUUUAUGUUUUAAGAGUCCAUUGCAUGUUAUUUUCUGUUCCACCUUGUUAGUUCUAUGAGCUGAGACGAUGAGAAUAUUAAUCUCCGCAUGUUUUCUUUGCA